rnacentral:rRNA from 1 species
GAACGCCCCGUGGAUUCUGUCCGAUGGGAGUGGCGCACGGGUGAGUAGCGCGUGGGAACUGCCCUGUUGUGGGGGAUAACCGAGGGAAACUUCGGCUAAUGACGCAUGCGCCCCGGUGAUGAGCCGGGGGAAAGAUUUAUCGCAGCAGGAGGGGCCCGCGUCGGAUAAGCUGGUUGGUGGGGUAACGGCCUACCAAGGCGAUGAUCCGUAUCUGGUCUGAUAGGAUGAUCAGCCUCUCUGGGACUGAGACACGGUCCAGACUCCUACGGGAGGCAUCAGUAUGGAAUAUUGGACAAUGGGCGCAAGCCUGAUCCAUCAAUGCCGCGUGAGUGAUGAAGGCCUUCGGGUUGUAAAGCUCUUUCGCCCGCGACGAUGAUGACGGUAGCGGGAGAAGAAGCCCCGGCUAACUUCGUGCCAGCAGCCGCGGUAAU